UUACAUUUUUGCGGUGCCAAUUCAAGGUCGAAUUGGCACCCAGUAAGAACCCAUUUUUGUAUUAUUCUUACAUUGGGAAUAAGUUUAUAAGCCCCCAAGCAGCCAGUUUACCCUAAGAAGGGCUUCCAGCGCCACGCCGCGGGAUCUGAUGGAUUUAUUAUAAAUUAGUAUUCAUCGCUCAACCCGACAAAAGAUCUUUUGGACGUGGAAAUUAAACUCGAUGUAAGUGAAAAAAAAAAAAACUCAU